rnacentral:rRNA from 1 species
AGGUUUAUAUAAAGUUUGGUCUGCCCAAUGAUUAAUUUAAUGGCCGCAGUAUUUUGACUGUGCGAAGGUAGCAUAAUCAUUAGUUUUUUAAAUGAAAGCUGGAAUGAAUGGCUGGACGAGAUGGAUUCUGUCUCAUUUGUAUAGGUAUAAUUUAAUUUUUGAGUGAGAAAGCUUAGAUUUUAAUAUAAGACGAGAAGACCCUAUAAAGCUUUAUAUUAAUAUAAUGUAAUGUUUUUGUUUUUUAUUUUUGUUAUAUUUAUUUUAUUAUUGGGUUGGGGUAACUUAAGAAUUAAUUUAAUUUCUUAUAUUAGUUAACAUAGAUUUAUGUUUAAUUGAUCCAUAUAUUUGUGAUUGUAAGAUUAAGUUACUUUAGGGAUAACAGCGUAAUUCUUUCGGAAAGUUCUUAUUGAUGAAGGAGUUUGCGACCUCGAUGUUGGAUUAAAAUUUAUUUUGGGUGUAGAAGUUCAAUAUAUUUGGUCUGUUCGACCAUUAAAAUUUUACGU